rnacentral:rRNA from 1 species
CACGUAGGCACCAAGCGUUGUCCGGAUUUAUUGGGCGUAAAGAGCUCGUAGGCGGUUCAGUAAGUCGGGUGUGAAAACUUUGGGCUUAACCCAAAGCGUGCAUCCGAUACUGCUGUGACUUGAGUUCGGUAGGGGAGUGGGGAAUUCCUAGUGUAGCGGUGAAAUGCGCAGAUAUUAGGAGGAACACCGGUGGCGAAGGCGCCACUCUGGGCCGAAACUGACGCUGAGGAGCGAAAGCAUGGGUA